GAUGAACGCUGGCGGCGUGCCUAAUACAUGCAAGUCGAGCGAACAGACGAGGAGCUUGCUCCUUUGACGUUAGCGGCGGACGGGUGAGUAACACGUAGGUAACCUACCUAUAAGACUGGGAUAACUUCGGGAAACCGGAGCUAAUACCGGAUAAUAUUUCGAACCGCAUGGUUCGAUAGUGAAAGAUGGCUUUGCUAUCACUUAUAGAUGGACCUGCGCCGUAUUAGCUAGUUGGUAAGGUAACGGCUUACCAAGGCAACGAUACGUAGCCGACCUGAGAGGGUGAUCGGCCACACUGGAACUGAGACACGGUCCAGACUCCUACGGGAGGCAACAGUAGGGGAUCUUCCGCAAUGGGCGAAAGCCUGACGGAGCAACGCCGCGUGAGUGAUGAAGGUCUUCGGAUCGUAAAACUCUGUUAUUAGGGAAGAACAAACGUGUAAGUAACUGUGCACGUCUUGACGGUACCUAAUCAGAAAGCCACGGCUAACUACGUG
rnacentral:rRNA from 1 species